GAUCAUGGCUCAGGAUGAACGCUGGCGGCGUGCUUAACACAUGCAAGUCGAACGAAGCACUUUAUUACGAUUUCUUCGGAAUGACGAUUUAGUGACUGAGUGGCGGACGGGUGAGUAACGCGUGGGUAACCUGCCUUAUACAGGGGGAUAACAGUUAGAAAUGACUGCUAAUACCGCAUAAGCGCACAGGAUUGCAUGAUCUGGUGUGAAAAACUCCGGUGGUCUGGGAUGGACCCGCGUCCGAUUAGUUAGUUGGCGGGGUAACGGCCCACCAAGACCGCGAUCGGUAGCCGACCUGAGAGGGUGACCGGCCACAUUGGGACUGAGACACGGCCCAGACUCCUACGGGAGGCAGCAGUGGGGAAUAUUGCACAAUGGAGGAAACUCUGAUGCAGCGACGCCGCGUGAGCGAAGAAGUAUUUCGGUAUGUAAAGCUCUGUCAGCAGGGAAGAUAAUGACGGUACCUGACCAAGAAGCCCCGGCUAACUACGUG
rnacentral:rRNA from 1 species